AAAAUAAAAAAUUAAAAAAACACUUUCAUUGUUAGCUAAUGCAAAAUAGCAUGGCUGAUCAAUCCUGCCCAGAAAACAUAAUCCUCCAAAUGUUGAAAUAAAUGACGAUCACAAAACAGUAAACACUCGCACAUACAGGUCGGCCAACCAAUCACCUCAGUCAAUUGUAUCCAGGUAUAAAUGUAAACUUGAUUCAACAGAGGCAAGGUUUAAAAUGUCUGUACUGAAGGAAGAUAGAUGAGUUGCAUAGCAAAACAAAUUAUCUGACAAGAAAUCAUGUUGUUCAUAACACAAUCCACAUUCCAUGACCUCAUUCU